rnacentral:rRNA from 1 species
UACAGAGGUCUCAAGCGUUGUUCGGAUUCAUUGGGCGUAAAGGGUGUGUAGGUGGCGCCGUAAGUCGGGUGUGAAAUUUCGGAGCUUAACUCCGAAACUGCAUUCGAUACUGCGGUGCUUGAGGACUGGAGAGGAGACUGGAAUUUACGGUGUAGCGGUGAAAUGCGUAGAUAUCGUAAGGAAGACCAGUGGCGAAGGCGGCUCACUGGCCCGGUACUGACGCUGAGGUGCGAAAGCGUGGGGAGCAAACAGG